rnacentral:misc_RNA from 1 species
AGCUGAGCUAUCCCGACCAUUCCCGGUGUAGUAACCCAUACUCAUUUUUUUUUUAUUUUAGUCGAUGACUGAGGUCUAUGUCAAUUAAAGGUAAAGGGGGGAUUACAAAUUUUUCACCAAUUACUUCAAUUUCUUUGAUCUUCAAAAAGACCCCUUUCUAUUUCCAAGUUUUAGUAUUCGUAAAACUAUUGAUUAUGAAUAUGAAUCGUUUAAAUCGGGAUUCUUUGCUAAAAUUGGCUGUGUAUUCUAUAUAACAUGGGAGAAGAGAAAGUCAUUUACACACAACUACGUUUGUAAAAGAAUCAGAAAAAAAAAGCAAUUUGUAACCGAAAGCGGGGAGGGUCGGAUAAAGAUUUUGGGAGUCAAAUAAGUUUGUUUGGGGAUAGAGGGACUUACGAACCCUCACGAUUUUGAAAGUGAACGGAUUUUCCUCUUACGAUAAAUUUCAUUGUUGCCGGUAUUGACAUGUAGAAGGGGACUCUAUCUUUAUUCUUGUUCGAUUGAUCAGUUCUUUAAAAAGUUUAUCGGAUAGACUACUAUGGAGUGAAUGAUUUGAUGAAUCAAAAUUAUAUUUUUUCUUCAAUGCCGAAUGAAUUCACACCAAUUUUGAUAUUUUUCAUAUAAAAAAAUACAUCUAGAGAUUCGGUCCACCAUUACUCAUUUGCUAUUUGAUAUAGUAUUCAAUAGAUAGGUUUGUCCUUGAUCCUUUCUGACGUUUUGGUGGAAAGAUUCCUCUACCAGUGGCCCAAUUUGUUAGAACAGCUUCCAUUGAGUCUCUGGACCUAUCCUUUUUUUUCGUUUUCUGAACCUUUCAUUUGAUAAAACAGGAUUUGGCUCAGGAUUGCCCUUUUUUUUUUAAUUCCGGGGUUUCCCUGAAUUUGAAAGUUAUCACUUAGUAGGUUUCCAUAC